UGGUAGGUAAUUUGAUUCAUUCGUGACCGGAUCAUUUAUUAUUAUAUGUAUCUGAAAUUUCACCUCAUCCUCUUUCAUGGAUUUGAUUCAUUGUUGACUCAGUCGUUCUCAAUUGAUAAUAAGUACACUAUACAGUAUUCAACGUUCAUAAAUAUUUUAAUCAACUUACUUAUGUAGGUACUAACUUCUUCUCCAGUUGGUGAAGUCAUAUCAGAAUACUUCAGACCACAUUAAAAUUCCUAUUGUAAUGACAUCUGUUCCUCUCUUCCACGGAAAUCCUGUCAGAGGGGUAUUCUCAUCUCCUAACCAACUGCAUUGUGUAUCACAGCCGGGUGUUUUCUGGGUACUUACAUUCGUACUGUGCAUGACAAGAUAACAAAAUGUUGAAAAUAAUUUAAUGAAUUCGCUCUUUUCUAUAAAUUGGAAACCGCAUUAAUUAAGAUAAGUACCUAGGUACCAUAAAUGCAAAAAUUUGUUGGGCUGAGUUAGUUAUAGUGGAGUGGCAAACAGCUAUAUGUAGGUAUCCAAAGAAAACUGCACUUUUCCAAUUCGGACUAUGCAUAGGUGUGGGUGUGGCGCGCUAGUGUGAUUGUUGUGAGAGAGAUGGGCGUAGAGGCGUUUGUGGAUCUUUUCUUCAAUUGAACAAAUUGUUGAAACGAUAAUAAACGUAACGCACAUACAUGUUAUCGAUUUUAUUAUUAAAAUAAUGUCAUAAUAAUACGUAAAACGAACUUAUAAUUAAUAAUAAAGGAGAGGAAAACGUCUUCCAUGAACAUUAAACAACAAAUACUCGAUCAUACUUAUUUUACAACAUAGAACAACCGAGUUUGACAAUUUUCACAAUGAACAAAAAGUAGAAUGAUGCUCAAAACGACUCUUCUCACAACAUUCCUCCUUUGUUUUGACGCAUCUUGAAAAAAGGAACAGUUAAAAACUAAUACUAAGUAGGUAACUAACAAUUAAGUUACAAAACGUCUUGAAAAUAACAGAACAAAACUUACAAAAUAAAUGAUCGAUUUUCAAAUACUAAACUAACAAUGAAUGAUUAAAUGAUCGAUAAAAUAAAUCAAAUGAGCGAUUAAAAUGUUCAAUGGUUGAUUGAGUGAGAAACAAAAUUCGAACAACGCACGAUUAAAUUAAAAAUAAAAAAAAUAGCACGAAUACUUUGAGGAAAAAAAAUUAAAAACAAAAAUGAAAAUGCAUGAGAUCAUGCCAUGAACAAAAAAUUUACAUAUCCGGAAGUAAACAUAACUUACAAUGUUGGGAGUUGGAGGUUGAUGGAACGCUGAAAGACCACAUGAUUGUGCUUGAUGUGCUAUUUGAGUACUUGCAGAAGUUGGUAUCUGCACACUCUGUGGAGUUGGGCAUUGACUUUCAAUACCAAGUUGCACUUGAACUGAACUUUUCAAAUGUUAUUAUUAGCGAGACAAACUUUGAAAAUGUUCAACUUGAAAUUAUGGAAUAAAAGUAGUUGAAAUUUUCAACAAACAUAAUGCCUUACCAUGUAUUUUCAAGAUCCGAAUAUCUAACUCACAAAUUUUAUUCAAUUUGCUGUUUCUAAAGGACCUGUUCCCAAACAAAACAAUUUUGAUCUUUAUGAAUGGAUUUUAAAUGUCAAUUUUAAAUUGGAAGUUCUAGUCCUUUGUAGUGUUCUGUGCUUCUUCAGUAGCCACAGACCUCUCAACAGAUUUAAAUUUAGGAGUACUUGUACUACGUGUGCUUGCAGCACCAGGCUCUACUCAUUUACCUUCUUCGUGAUUCUCUUCAACUUCGUUUUUCACAGCUACGUUAGUUGUUUGAGACAUUAAAUUGAUACCUAUGUUAACAAAAUUUCCUUAAUGACUUAUUUGAGAACGAUUUACUCAGGGGAAAUUCUUUGUCCCCAAAUGAUUUUCUGAAACAGACGAAUUAUUCCAGGAUACUUAGUGAUUCUUUUAAUAUUAUGUACUUCGUUUGAUACAAAAAUUUUCCACAAGUUGGAAUACCACCAUUACUUCAUUAGUAUCCAACAUACUUACUUAUAUGUAAAUCUUAAGUAUGUCUAGGGUAUUAAAUGCGCAAACAUUGCAUUCAUAUAAUAAUUACAUAUUAUAAAUUGAUUAACUUUUUAAUAUAAUAAUGGCGGAUGGAAUUUUUGACAGGCCAUAAUAGGCUUUGAACAAUGAAUCGCUUAUUGGUACGAGAUGUCUAAACUAUUGGAAAGUGCUUGAUGAUUAAUGGCCUAGUGUGGGGGAAAAAUUGAAAAGUUGCUUACUAAGCUUGGGGAAAUUGAUCAAAGUUUUUCUUCUUAGCCCAGUAUUGCUGCGCAUUCAUUUGAAAUGUGAAAAAAAUAUAAGUAAAACAAUAUCUAAAAAUUAAAAAAUUCCUAGAGAUUGAAAACAUUUAGAAAAUUGAUAAAAAAAAUUAACAAAAAAGUAGGUAUUCCAAAAUAUUUCGUAAUGUGACAUAUCAACUACAUUCCAACUUACACAAUGCAAAGUUUUAGCCUUGAUUUUUUUCUGGCUUGCCAUAGCAACACAUCCUGUGUUAUUUGCAAUGGUUAUAACAAACAUAACAAUAUAAACUAAUUUCUGCGUAGACAAUUAAAGAUAAACAUAAAUAAACAUAAAUAAAAUGAGUGGGUUCCUGCAGGCCACCCCUUCAUUUGGUCACUGCCUCUUGGUCUCUGGAUGAGUGGUGCCAAAUAAUUAAGAAAAUGAAUAUGAUACCUUUAGGUGGCUUACCCUGCAUGUGAGCCUAUCUUGAGCAUCAUUGUGUCUAGGACAGCUUCACACAAUGUGUAGAGUGUCUUUUACCACUCAAGUGUUACAUCUCAAGCAGGUUGAAGAUUCCCUUUUCUGAGUCUUGAAAAAAAAAAGAAACUAGAAUUGCUUACUUUACAAAUUCUCAGUGGAUAUAAUGUACAAUGUUUUCAACUGCAACUCUUUCAUACAAGUAUUCUCAUCAUGUAUCACCAAUUACAUGUCAUCUUUGGUUAGUAACAGUUGUUGAUGUAUUUGGGGCUGAGUGGUUAAUGGCAUUAUCCUGCAAUCUGCAGCUGUAUUCGGCAACUACCUAUCUCAGAAGAGUGUUCCAUGCAGUUUGUUUGAAAAGUUGUUACUCAAGAUGGAGUCUGGUUGAGAGCGGAUUGGUUGAAUAUGGUAGGAGUUGAUUUGGUCAGUAGUUGUAGUUGGCUAAUUUGUGUCAAGAGGUUCCAGUCACUGAAACUGCUCCAGCCCUGGAAUCCGGAACAGUGUUUACUGUAGAGUAUUUAGUUAAUUUAAAAUCCAUAAAAGAUCCCACAAGCCGGUGAAUUAAUCUGCAAAUAGCCAGAGCGCAUGCGUAGCUAUAAGCCCCUAUAUACUGUGGAGGGUGGGAGGUAUCCACAGUCUAAUUCUUCACUUACCAUCUGCAUUUCAGAGCUACCUUUUUAUGAAAUAUGCUUCAUACAGCUGAGAAAAAUACAAACGCUCUCGAUAUGAACAACAAAAAAAUUGAAAUUAGCAACAGUCUCAUUUUUACACUUAAAAAAAAUUAAUUAAUUGAGGAGUUCUUCCAUUAGAAAAAUCUAAACAGAAUUCAGUAUAAUGACAGCAUUUGGUCUGAGGAACAACGAUGAGGGAUAACCUUUUGUGAUUUUCAUCUUGAAGCUGAAAAAACUUGAUCCAUUACCUUAAUGCAUAGUUUAUCUAUGUAUGAUCUAUAUGGAAAGAGCUCUAUGAGUAAUUGGUUUAGUGCGAGAAGAAAAGUUGAAAAGUUGCUCACUAAGCUAGAGGAAAUUGUUCAGAGUUUUGUUAAUCCCCGACCUGUUAAUGGAAUUUCAAAUUUCAAAUUGUAUGGUUUGGGUGUGUAAGCUUUGAAUCUGCGUGCCAGGAGUCUGUUGUUCAAAAUGAUAUUCAUAGUUUUCAUAGAUUUUAUACCUAUCCUUAACAUGAGCUUAUCUUACACAUGUCGCAGAUAGGUAUUCAUCAAUUAACUACAAUGAAAUUGCAGUUAAGUAACUUUGAAUCUUUCGACUCAAGGUAGAUAUGUGCCAUUUCAUCACUUACCCACACUGUUCUCAUCUUCUGCCUCUCCUGUGCUCUACUCAUACUAAGAGCGGCGACAGGCUUAGGUUGUAUUAUUAAAUAUUAACCGAUGGCCGGCAGGAUCAGAGAAUAACACAAUGUAGCGCGAUUGAUUAAAUUUGUCAAAAACACAUUAUUUUAAUACAAAUGUGUACCGAAGGGUGUAGAUUUUAUUUUUCAAAAAUCGGUACAAUCUUCCAAAGUUUUCCAAUUGAUCUAAACGGCGCACGAACGUGAAGCUUUCAUGGACAGCUUCACACUCAAACACUGUUGGGAUCCACCGGAGAACACUGGAAGUUUAUUUUGAUUUUUGAAAAAUGAAAUCUACACCCUUCUUGGCACUGACCGAAUGGGCCCUUUCGAAAUAUCGGUACACAAAUUAUCCACAGAAUUGUGGGCAAAAGCGAGGAAAGAGGGGAAGAGGUUAGAACAGUCUUCUGCCUAUACAUUUGAGAAAAUACACUUCUUGGUGACAUUAGUACCGACGAGCUCAAGAUAUCAAUGCUAAGUAAAGUUGGGAUCUCGCAGUGAGCACCACAAUGGUACCUAGCUCGCUACUUUUAAGGAGGGUGGAAUAGUUCCCAUGUUCUCAUACUUCCAGCAUACAUAAAUCAUGUCAGGUCAUAGGUUACAUGAAUAACAUGUACCACCUUAUAGAGGGAUUACAUUAGGAAUCGCUAAGACGAUUAAGGCAUAUUUUAUGACUCUGAAACUGUCGUACAUUAGGUAUGACCACACUGUAAGAAAGAAAAACAAAAACAACAACUCCCAUUAGGUAGGUACACUUUUAAAAACUCAAGUCAUAGUGGUACCUCCGGUAAUCACUAAGAAGUUACUGGAGCCCUCAGCAAAUUUUUAAAACUAUGGAGUAGGAAAGUAAAGUACCAAGUGGCCAAAAAGUUACCCAACUCAAUUUGUAAUUAAAUAAAAUAAAAUAUAUGGCGAAUAAGUGUACCUAUAGGAGGUAAGAAGGACUGUGUAGGAACCUAUUGUUUAUACACAUACACAAUCACAAAGCUAGAGAGAGAGAGAGAGAGAGAGAGAGAGAGAGAUUUAAAUAAAUAACCAUCAUCCAAACGAUUAAAAGAACUGCAGUUUGGGGUAAUAUCAUCCAGCUAAAAAAAAAUAUUGAAAUAACUGGAAAAUGAGAGCAGAGAACAACAGGAAAUGUGAGAAAUGACUUACCUCGUGAUUUUUUUUUUAUCGUGGUUUCACAUUGGUUAAGCCUUUCUUUAGAAUCAAACAGGGUUAUUGAACUAUGCAUGACGAAAGUUCUCUGGUCGUAACUAUUGAAAUAAGUAAUAGCAUCUAUAUGAAAGGCAUGCAAUUUUUUCGAUUGUCUGCAUGCAAUUCAACAACAAAAAGAAUAGAAACGUAUUUAUGGGACAUCAAGGCCAGCCAUUGAGGCCAAUGAUUCGGAAGUUGCGACAUAUUAUACUUACUUACAUUAAAAACCUGCGAGCAAUCCGUUCAAAAAUGAUGAGGAAAAUAAAAUUUAUAUCCGAAAGAUUCGUUCACAAAUAAUUUGCUUAGAAGAGAGCAUUUUUUCUUCUUCGUUUUCUUCUUCAUCCUCUUUUUCCCUGCCAGAUUUCGAGUUGGACGAUUUGGCCUUUGUUUUGGAUGUUUCUGUUUUUGGUAGGUACUAGUUUCAGUUUAGUAGUCAUCAUUCUUCUACUUAUCUAUCAAUAUAAAAUUGUGAAGGAAUUCGUUCGUGAACGAUUUUUCUCUGAACUCAAAAAACGUUCGCUAUGGAAUGAAUCACUGAAAAAUCAUAUUUUGUAUUAGAUGUAGACAACGUGAUGAAACUUGACAGUUUUAAUUCAUGUCAAACAUUUAACUUUGUUCGCGAACGAUUUGCUUGUUGUAUGGCCGUAUUGAGCGGUAUAACAACGAGUGACUGAUGUGGGAAAGCCUACAGGUCCAAGUUUUCAAAAAUCCAAGAACUUGUAAAUAACCUUUUUAGGUUGAGAACAGCUAGAAUACGUAUUAAGCCUGAGCAGGGGAGCAAGACACGUGUGUGCACUGUGCACAGAUUUCUCCUUUAGCCCUUGUUAUUCUAAUGGAAAAAAUUCUCCAUGGUUGGAAUUUUUAUUGGGUUAAGGGGUGGUUUAUCCAUUGGAGUUGAAGGAGCACCGAUACCAUUUUCAGCCCACAGAUAUUGUGCUUGUAUAUCUAAUCGUUAACUUUUUUGGAACAGUUUUUGAUUAGUUUCUUUAUAAUUUUGUCUUGAAUUGGCUGGUAACAGAGAAACCAACUUGAUCCAGCACACAAGCUGCUUAUAAGUAAUUCUACUUUCCUUUUGAGUGCGUCCAUAUACUCUUUCUUUUUGCUCCUACUUUCUUAGGCUGAGAUCUACAAAACAGCAUUUUAAAAUAUUUUAUGCAUCACAUUCAGAAAUAACAGAUAUCUUUCAAUUUUGAAAAGAAAAUAGGUACUUUCAAAAAAAAUUAAACUUUUUUUUUGAGUUCCAAAUAAUUUAAAUUAUUUUACUCAGCGUUGAAAUGCUAUAUUGCCUAUAUGGGACUAAGUUUUUUGAACCUUUUUAUUUUUUUCACCGCUGGAGGAUGGUUUUUACAGCUUACUUAAUUAUUGUCAAAUGAAAUUUGAUUCAAAAAAUUCAUAAUAGAAAAAAAAAUACCUAAGUACAAGAAUGUCAAAACAUGAAUUUUUGAAAGAUUCGUUUUCAAAUACUGGGGACGUGACAGAAUCAUUGUCCGAUUUAGGCUAACAAGCGGCAAGAGGGCGGUAGCUCAGUACGCCCCAAGAGAAAAUGAGCUCCAAAGGUGUAUUUGGGCCCCAGAACAGAAAUUCCAAUGACAGUUUUUGAAUAUUAUGUAUUGCAAAAAAAAAAAAAAAAAAUGCAAUUUUAACAGACGAAAAUAUGUACUUCGUUUGAUGCAAAAAUUUUCUACUAGUUGGAAUACCACUAUGUCUUCAUUAGUAUCCAACAUACUUGCUUAUAAAUCUUGAGUGGAAUAAUCCAGUUUGUUUGGAAUUGAUGGCGUGAUUAGAAUGCUCUUUUUCCAUUAGGAAUUUCAAUGCGCUGUGAACCACUUCAAUUCUUGAAGAUUUUUCAAAAUUGAAAUGGAAUGAAAUGUAUUUUUGGAGCAAUAAACAAAAUAUUAAUUACAUAUUGUAUGCUUAAUGACACCCCUAUGCCAGUAGGUGAGCUGAGUACCAGAUUACUAUUGUUAUUAAGAAAAACAAAAAACAAAAAAUAAUAAUAAUAUCUCACAUACACGAGUAAAGAGGAAAAGCAAUGCAAAAACCAUGACCAAAAAAAAACAAAAUACAACAAAAAAGAGAGAAUAUAAAAAUUAAAAAAAAAAAAAAAAAUGAAACAAAAAAUACAAGGAACGAAAAGCAAAAAACAAGAAAAAAAUAAUAAAAUAAACCCCCUCCCAAUAAAGUGUUGAGCUGAAGUUGACACAGGUAUUAGGUAAGUAGUAAAUACACAAUCAAUAAUAAUAAUGAUAAUAAUAUGACCGAGUGCCUAAAAAAAACAAACAGAAUUAGAAUCUAAGAGGCAGUGGAGAAUGUGCUGCUGUCACUGAAGAGGCAGGUCAUACUCACACUGGAUCAAUGUUGGCAAUAAUGUCAUCAUAUCAAAGAGGUAAAUAAUUAAAAUUUGGUAUGCUUGUGCACAAUCACACUGGCCAAAUCCAUAAUAUCCCAUCAUUAUUCAUUACUAAAAUAUACCUACUAAAACAAACAUAAUAUAAAAUAACUUUAGCAUAGAUAAUUAAACAUGAACAUAAACAAAAUGAGAACUUCUUCUUGGUUGCUGCAGGCUGCCACUUCAUGUGGUAACUGCUUAUUGGCUUCUGGAUGGGUGAUAAGAUAAGCUUGGUAGAUGGGUACUGAGUCUCAACUGGGCAAGGACUGUUCAAGUUGGGCAUUUGACAUUCACAGUACACACACCUACAAGCACUAUGUGCCAUUUGAUACUGCUGCUUUCAGAUUACUUGAUUAGUCAGUAUUGCUUUCACUCCACUUACUUCACUGACCUGUGUUCACAGUCCAUGUCUCCCUACCCAAGCAAGUCAGCUAGGCAGUUCUCAGGGCCAUUUCUCCAAUAUCAGGACAUACCCGAGCCUGUCUCAAGCAUCAUUGUGUCCAGGACAGCUUCGCACAAUAAGUAGGAGUGUCUUUGACCACUCUGGUGUUACAUCUCAAGCAGGUUAAAGAUUCCCUUUUCUGGGUCUUAAAAAAAAAAGAUUGCUUCUUCGAAUUAUCUCUCCGGACUAAAAGUAACUUUGUCACGUGCGCAGGUUGCCUAUCUGUACUUGGUAAGAUUCUGUAAUGCAUCUAAAAUGGUGAUUAAUCUUGUUGCCUCGGUGGUGUGAUGGAGGCAUGCUGGACUCGUAAUCCAUAGGGCCUGGGUUCGACUACCAGCCUGGGCACAAAUUUUUUGUACAUUAGCUACAUGGAAAGAGCUUCACAAGUGUAAAUUACUAAGCUCGGGCAAACUGUCCAAAGGAUUUACUAAGAAAAUGAACGUAAGAUUAAUUUAUUUUAAAUAUUUUUAAUACAGGGAAAACGAAAGAACAAGAGAGUGUACAAGUGGGCUGGUUUUGUGUGUUUUAAGGGUAAUUGGUUUGGAAGGGUGGGAGGGUGACUGUGAAGAAUGGGAACGUUUGAAACAGUUAUAUUAUCUUUUACAAAUCACAAUGUGAAAUUUUAAACUGUAUAGGUACAUGUCAGGGGUCUGCUGUUUAAAUCCCACAUGGGACAAUUUUUUUGCUGUUCAUUUUUACUUUAAAUUUUAAAUAGGAUGAACACGUGUUUAUUGACAGUUCAAAAAAUUCAUGUUGUAAGCUCAAAAGGCUCAUUCUAUCGGAUCAAUCCAAUUUCUAAAAAAAUGCUUUGUCUAUUUCUCUCAUUGAGUCUGCACCCUUCAGUUCAGAAACAAAAUUAGAAACAAAAUUUUAAUUAGAAAAAAUCCAAGUACAAGUAGGUAUAAGUAAGUACCCAAAAAUUGAAAAUUAUAAAAAUUAGUAAAAUAUGACAAAAAGCUUAAUGAAUGAUCUGAUAGCACAAAUAAUAUGAAAAACAUAUAUGGAAAGAGCUCGAUGAGUAAUUGGUUUAGUGCGAGAAAAAAAAAUUAAAAGUUGCUCACUAAGGUAGAGGAAAUUGUUCAGAGUUUUGUUAAUCCCCGACCUGUUAAUGGAAUUUCUAAUUUCAAAUUGUAUGGUUUGGGUGUGUAAACUUUGAAUAUCUGCAUGCUAGGAGUCUGUCGUUCAAAUCCCACAUCGGACAAUUGUUUCGUUGUUAGAUUUUUAUUUAAAGUUCAAACAAAAUGAACACAAUUUAUCAAGUUCAAAAAAUUGCACUGUAAGCUCAAAAAGCUCAAUUAAUCAGUUGAAACCAAUCUUUUAAAUAAUAUUUUAUACAUUCCUCUCAUUGAGCCUGCAACCUUCAAUUCAUAAACAUAAUGUCAAGUUGAAAAAAAUGAAGUAAAUUAUAGAAAAAAAAUAAUUCCA